UUGUUAAUUUCGCUGAGUUUUCGCUUUGUGGCGGAGAACGGGGGAACCAAUAGUAGCCACUUUUUCUCGUGUGAGAGUCGAGAAAUUAGAAGCUACAGGGGUGAAUCCUGACAAGGACAAUUAGGUCUUUGCUGGGUAGAGCGACUCUCACGGCUCGAAUCCGACAGCUAACCUCGUAAGCAAAAGUUUGAGAGAGG
rnacentral:sRNA from 1 species